rnacentral:rRNA from 1 species
GACGAACGCUGGCGGCGUGCUUAACACAUGCAAGUCGAGCGGUAAGGCCCUUUCGGGGGUACACGAGCGGCGAACGGGUGAGUAACACGUGGGUGACCUGCCCUCAGCUCUGGGAUAAGCCUGGGAAACUGGGUCUAAUACUGGAUAUGACUCCACGGUGCAUGUCGUGGGGUGGAAAGCCUUGUGCGGCUGAGGAUGGGCCCGCGGCCUAUCAGCUUGUUGGUGGGUGAUGGCCUACCAAGGCGACGACGGGUAGCCGGCCUGAGAGGGCGACCGGCCACACUGGGACUGAGACACGGCCCAGACUCCUACGGGAGGCAGCAGUGGGGAAUCUUGCGCAAUGGGCGAAAGCCUGACGCAGCGACGCCGCGUGAGGGAUGACGGCCU